GCUGGGCAUGGUGUCGCAUGCCUAUAGUCCCAGCUACUCGGAGGCUGAGGCAGGAGAAUUGCUUGAACCCGGCAGGCAGAGGUUGCAGUGAGCUGAGAUGGUGCCACUGCACUCCAGCCUGGGUGACAGAGUGAGACCCUGUCUCAA
ensembl:misc_RNA Metazoa_SRP Metazoan signal recognition particle RNA